UUUAGGCCUGACGCCCUUGCUUCUCUUGCACGGAGCAGUCGAGAUCCAUAGUCGUUUGUAAUGCGAACCGUAGGUGGAAGUGCUUCUCUAAACUCUCCCAAACCGUCUUCGCUCAGCCUACGAUCCGGCCCAGUUUUCUUCCAAGCAGGUAGCUCCAGCCGCCUCCUGUCUUUCUUCCCCUCUCCCUCCGGUUUUUCCGUGGGCGUCCCCCUCUUACUCCGAAUGUGCCCGUGGUCUGGAACUCGCUCCAUCCCAACAGCACCUUCCUGCCCGUGAAGACAAGCCCCCAUGCUUUUAGUUUUAACGGUUUGUUAUGGAUUACUUUGAUAGGAACAGGUAACGCUCCUGUAGCUCUCAUGCAGCACUGUGUGCCCCGCAUGGCCCUGAAAGCUUCUUAUAUGCAUUAAUUAGUUCAGUCUUUGGAACGACACUAAGCUACUAGGUCUUAGUACUGUCAUCGGUCUGCAAAUCAGGAAACGGAGGCCCUUGAGACGUUAAGUAAAUUGCCUAAGGUUACACAGCAAGCAAAUCGCCCGAUUCUAGACUAAUCUAUUUUUUAAAAUUAUUAGUACACCAAGUGAAAUAAGUAUUAACAAAUUUUUGUAAUUAUUUAGUAGAAUGCAAAAUUUAUUGGAAAAUACAUCUUGGUUAAGCGGAUACUGUUGCUUUUACAAAUUCAUUUGUCUCUGGAUGAAUACGCUUCAUUGUUGGAAGGAGAAAGGCUGAGCAUGACUUCUGUUGUUAUUUCUAGUUUUUAUAGCUCUACGCCCUGAAAAACCGUGUUCAUAUAAACAAGUACAUACCUGUGAAUGGAGUCUUACUAUAGCAACGUCACUCAAUUCUUGAUCUCAAAAAAUUAGAGUUGAUGACUUAUGAGUUCACUUACUCAAUUCAGCCUCCUUCAAUUUUGUUGAAAGCAAAGAAUUGAAAGCCACCCGACUUGCCAAAGGAUUUGUGUAUCUAGUCCUUAUUGUUCUACUUUUUCAGUUUCUGGGAAAUACAACAAAUAGGCUUAACAACAUAUCAAAUGACUAUGAAUUAGACUUUUUUUUUUUUUUCUUCAGUGAGAUGUAUCUUGUGUAACCUGACACGCUCAAAAUUUGGGGAAAAUCUAGACGUUGUUCAUUUUCGUAAGUGGCUGCAGAUAAAUUUUUUUUUUUAAUUUUGUUUUGUUAUCGGAUAGCUCGGUUUUGUUUUGUCAAGACUUUGCAGCUAAUUAUACAGCUCAUUCCAGUUGAAACUUUGUCAAGCAUGGAAAAUGUUUGUCAUAUACCCUAAUUAAUAGCGCCCGUUUUCGCCAUCGAACCAGCCAAAUUGGAUUUAGUUUCCGUGAGAAACACUUUGACUUCCUUGUUUCAGUUUAAAUAAAGUGUCUUGCAUUUUGAGGAUUGUAAUGAAGACUGCGGAGAGAAAAAGUCGUUGAAUGAAUUGUGAAAGAUUUACUAAAAGCAAUAAAGAUUAAAAUAGUGUAAGACACAAUUGUUUUAUCCAUUUUCAAAAUUAGUGAAAAUAAGAUGCAAAUAUGAUGUUUCCCUUAGUUAUCAACAGUGCAAUAUAAUUUGCUAAAUAUAUUUAUAUUAUUUAUUAAGUGUGUCUAGUAUGAUAAAAGGCAUGCCAUUUGGUAUGUAUGGGUGCUUGUAUCACCAAACUUAUUCAGCUUUAGGGGAAUAACUAAGUACGAAUCAUCCAUAAAAAUUCAGCAGAACUCCAUGAAUAUAGUCAGUCAUAGUGAUCAAACCUAAAAAAAAAUAAUAAUAAGGCAUUUUUGCUACUAAAAAUAAAUCGGUUCAUUGGCUAGUAAAUUUUUUGUUUUGUGAACAUUUUAGAAAAUCCUAAAUAUUUUCUAUGUAAGAACUGAUUAUAAUUUAAACAGAUGAUCCAAAAAGACCAGUGUCAUUUCUUAAAUGACCCUCCACCCACCCAAAGCCCAGUUAAAACCCUGAAAGUUCACUUUUUCAAUGACACUAGAACACGUUUUUAGGUGGGGUUCAAAUUCCCAUUAAGUUGGGUUUUUUUUUUAUUGUAUUUUUUUUUUUUUUUUAGUUUAUUUGUUUUUGAGACAGAGACAGAGAAAGAGUGCAAGCAGGGGAAGGGCAGAGAGAGAGGGAGACACAGAAUCCAAAGCAGGCUCCAGGCUCCGAGCUGUCAGCACGGAGCCCGACUCGGGGGCUUGAACUCUCAUGAACUGUGAGAUCAUGAGAUCAUGAUAGGAGCCCCCCAGGGGCCCCACCCACGAAGUUUUUGUAACAGUUUUUGUCAGGUUGUGGGGAGAGGAAAGGAUGUGUGGCUUGCCUCCCCGCAGCAAGCUCUGCAGUCACAGCCAGCCCUCCAUUUCGGCUGUAGUAUAAAAUACCCAGUAAAGACGGAAGUGGCCGUUGCACAGAGCGUUAUAAAAUGUGAAUGUGAGAAGCGGGGAGCGGGGGGUGCUUUCUUCUCUGGAAGGAACUUCGAAGAAUUGCCCCUUGCUCCAGGGUCAGGACCUGGAGAUGGGGUGUCAGAGGGGAGACGGUCAGGUAGAGGGCUGGUUGUCCAGGGCAGCAUUUGGCUGGCAGGCACUGGAAAGUUCCUUGUUCCUUGCCGGUCUGGGAGUGCUCAAGAGUAGAGGUGCUUUGGCAAUGGUGGCUGUGUGAGCAUAUGCUAGAGCUGCAGAGUUCGAGAAGGUCGCUGAGUCCUAGCUGGUAGGACAGUGGAGGGUGGGACUAGCACAGCAAGAUAGCAGUGAUGGCAACUGAGAACCAGGGCUGGGCCGUGGGAUACUGGGGCAGGAAGUCCAGAGGAGAGAAAUCAUGAUGUGGGGUGUGGUGAGGGGAGCUGGGAAGGGACACUUUCUGGUGAAGUAGGACGUACCCAUCACCUUAGUUACUCAUACUUUACGUGAUAGGAGAGUCCUGUGUGGGUAGUCAGGAAGAUUAGCAGUGGUGCUCAAACUUUAGCAUGCACCAGAAUCUCCUGGAGGCCUGGUGAGCACUCAGUGCUGGCCCCAUCCAGGCCCAGAGUCUAAUCUGGUAGGUCUGGGACAGGGCCUGAGACUCGUGUUUGCAACAAAUGCUGAUGGAUCACCGUCUGAGAAACAAUGGAUAGACAAACCACACCCCACAGGCCUAGUCCCGUUUACCUGUCCUUAUUAAGUAUUCUCUGGAACCUAGCCACGCCCACUGGGUUUGCUUGGUUUCCAAUGUCUGGCUGCUUUCACUGCAAGGUUGGAGUUGAGAUGGAGACUGUGGUUGGGAAAGCUGAGACUAGUUACCAUGUGGCCCUUCAUAGAAAACGUCUGCCAAACCCCUGGGCUGGAAGGAGGCCGCAAAGGUGCGGUGGUGAGGCUUUCCAUUUGGGAAGCCUGUAUUCCAGAACUUCUGCCAUUCACUAGAUAACAAGGUACUUCUCCCAACAGAGGAGAUAAUGCCUACUUAGCAGGGAAGCCAAGUCUUAUAAAUGACCGUGGUUUGUACUGUGCAGCCCAGAUGAAGUGAAUUAUUAAGAAUGGGUGGAGUUUUGGAGAGUCCGGGUGGCUCAGUCGACUGAGUGUCCAACUCUUGAUUUCUCCUCAGGUCAGGAUCCCAGGGUCAUGGGAUUGAGCCCUACCCAGGGUUCCGCCAAUGGAGCCUGCCUAAGCUUCUCUCUUUCCCUCUGCUCCUCUCCCCUGCUCGUGCCCCAGUGGGUGUGCUUUCUCUGUAAAAACACAAAAGAAAACAAAACAAAACAAAACGGAAGAAGUUUGGAUAGAGAGAGAAAGGAGAAGCUAUGCCUUGUUGAGGAAAGAACACGCUCUAAAGGAAAAGAGAGUGUGCCUUUGUUUCAGUCUCCAGUCACUCCAUAACUGAGAAUAUAAUCAAGGUAGAAAACCAGGUCUCUAGCAUGGUGCUGGGCACACACUAUGGAUGUAACAGGUGUUCAUUUAUUAUGGGAUAUUUAUUUCAUUUCUGUUAGAAAUAUUCUGUGAUGUAGCCCAUCAGUUAACAUUAAACUGUCCAUUAACACACAUGGAGAUUUGCUACUUUGUGAGGAAAUUGCUGUUGGUCUUGAAGGAGGGAGGGGCUGGGUAUACAAACCUAGAACUCUAAAAUAGGAAUUUUCUCAUCUACACUUGUGAACUCUGAUGGCCAUUUAUCUUUCCCUUAAGCGAUAGCCUUUUUGUCAUAUUUUUAUUCCUUGCUUUCUAGUUUGAACACUUUUUUUUUUUAUAAGAAAAUACUCCUUUAAUGCAUGUAACGUCACUUUUUUCAUAUUUCUUUGCUUUUAAGAUUUAAACUUCUGGUAAUGACAGUAAUCAGAUUAACAAAAGUAAGAUUUAUUAUGAAGUUAAGAAGCCAGUAUCUGUUAAUGUUACUGAGUUGCUGGCUGUUUUGACAAUUGGGGUAACAUAGCAGAUGGCUUGAAAUAAAAAAAUAUUCCUUUAUGUGCUUAUAAAGAUGGAAAGGAACUUUGCAUUUGUGAGUUAGUCGUCACGAAGACUCUCUUUAUUUUUAAAAUAGCUUUAGUUUGUGUAUAUGUUCCUUGAAUAGUCUAGAAGGUACAUGGUGCCCUGAACAUGAAAAGUCACACCUCCAGGAAUGAAACGAGGAAAUGCAGAAAUGAAAGGAAGAUCUGUAGAAAUUAUGUGAUAUUAUCUGAAUACCCUAAAUCUAAUCCAGGUCUAAGUGGAAUCUAGGGAGAAAUUCUAGUUAGAAAUUCUGAGGAGGAGGAGAAAAUACUAAUUAUAAGCAAGAAAUUGUAUACUUAAGUAAUGAGAAUAUUCUACCUCUGGAAAAGGAAUAUUUUCAGAGGGGAGAUGACAGACAAAGUUUCUGAAAAGGAGGGAUUUACAGUGUCUGGAAUCGGCAUUGUCUCCGCGGAGAGUAUAUAUUUGCUGUGUCGGGACAGAAGAAUUUUCCCUUCCUCCCCACUAGGUUAUUUGGCUGGUCAAACAACCAAAUGGAGAUUGGACAGGAUUAACAGGAGAAAAACUAGUGUAAUUCUUCACAUCCAGGAGCCGCAAACCUGUGACACCUGAAGGACAG
rnacentral:lncRNA from 1 species